ACAUGCAAGUCGAGCGGCAGCGGGAGGUGCUUGCACCUCGCCGGCGAGCGGCGGACGGGUGAGUAAUGCAUAGGAAACUGCCCGGUAGUGGGGGAUAACCUGGGGAAACCCAGGCUAAUACCGCAUACGUCCUACGGGAGAAAGCAGGGGCUCUUCGGACCUUGCGCUAUCGGAUGUGCCUAUGUCGGAUUAGCUGGUUGGUGAGGUAACGGCUCACCAAGGCGACGAUCCGUAGCUGGUCUGAGAGGAUGAUCAGCCACACUGGGACUGAGACACGGCCCAGACUCCUACGGGAGGCAGCAGUGGGGAAUAUUGGACAAUGGGCGAAAGCCUGAUCCAGCCAUGCCGCGUGUGUGAAGAAGGCUUUCGGGUUGUAAAGCACUUUCAGUGGGGAAGAAAGCCUGGCGGUUAAUACCCGUCAGGGACGACAUCACCCACAGAAGAAGCACCGGCUAACUCCGUGCCAGCAGCCGCGGUAAUACGGAGGGUGCGAGCGUUAAUCGGAAUUACUGGGCGUAAAGCGCGCGUAGGCGGCUUGAUAAGCCGGGUGUGAAAGCCCUGGGCUCAACCUGGGAACGGCAUCCGGAACUGUCAAGCUAGAGUGCAGGAGAGGAAGGUAGAAUUCCCGGUGUAGCGGUGAAAUGCGUAGAGAUCGGGAGGAAUACCAGUGGCGAAGGCGGCCUUCUGGACUGACACUGACGCUGAGGUGCGAAAGCGUGGGUAGCAAACAGGAUUAGAUACCCUGGUAGUCCACGCCGUAAACGAUGUCGACUAGCCGUUGGGCUCCUCGCGAGCUUAGUGGCGCAGUUAACGCGAUAAGUCGACCGCCUGGGGAGUACGGCCGCAAGGUUAAAACUCAAAUGAAUUGACGGGGGCCCGCACAAGCGGUGGAGCAUGUGGUUUAAUUCGAUGCAACGCGAAGAACCUUACCUACCCUUGACAUCCUCGGAAUCCGUCGGAGACGACGGAGUGCCUUCGGGAGCCGAGUGACAGGUGCUGCAUGGCUGUCGUCAGCUCGUGUUGUGAAAUGUUGGGUUAAGUCCCGUAACGAGCGCAACCCUUGUCCCUAUUUGCCAGCGAUUCGGUCGGGAACUCUAGGGAGACUGCCGGUGACAAACCGGAGGAAGGUGGGGACGACGUCAG
rnacentral:rRNA from 1 species